CCACGUCAGUCCAAUCACACAUAC
rnacentral:miRNA from 1 species